rnacentral:rRNA from 1 species
GAUGAACGCUGGCGGCGUGCCUAAUACAUGCAAGUCGAGCGAACAGAUGAGAAGCUUGCUUCUCUGAUGUUAGCGGCGGACGGGUGAGUAACACGUGGGUAACCUACCUAUAAGACUGGGAUAACUCCGGGAAACCGGGGCUAAUACCGGAUAAUAUUUUGAACCGCAUGGCUCAAUAGUGAAAGACGGUUUCGGCUGUCACUUAUAGAUGGACCCGCGCCGUAUUAGCUAGUUGGUAAGGUAACGGCUUACCAAGGCGACGAUACGUAGCCGACCUGAGAGGGUGAUCGGCCACACUGGAACUGAGACACGGUCCAGACUCCUACGGGAGGCAGCAGUAGGGAAUCUUCCGCAAUGGGCGAAAGCCUGACGGAGCAACGCCGCGUGAGUGAUGAAGGUCUUCGGAUCGUAAAACUCUGUUGUUAGGGAAGAACAAAUUUGUUAGUAACUGAACAAAUCUUGACGGUACCUAACCAGAAAGCCACGGCUAACUACGUGCCAGCCGCCGCGGUAA